GAUGAACGCUAGCGACAGGCUUAACACAUGCAAGUCGUGCGGCAGCGGAUACUUAUCUUGCUAAGUAUGCCGGCGACCGGCGCACGGGUGAGUAACGCGUACCGACCCUGCCCAUCACACAGGGAUAGGCUUGCGGAAGCAAGAUUAAUAUCUGAUUGUCUCAAUUUUAUGCGUGUAUGAUUGAGUAAGGCCUUCGGGCGGUAAUGGAUGGCGUUGCGUCCCAUUAGGAAGUUGGCGGGGUAACGGCUCACCAAUGCUUUGAUGGGUAGGGGUUCUGAGAGGAAGGCCACCUAGAUUGGAACUGGGACACGGUCCAACCGCAUUACGGAGGAAGCUGGGAGGAAAAGUGGUAAAGGGGAGAGAGCCUGAACCAGCCGAGUAGCGUGCGGGAUGAACGCCGUUGUGGUUGUAAACCGUUUGUAUGAGUGAAUAAAGUGCAUCACGUGUGGUGUGAUUGAAGGUAGCUGAAGAAAAAGCACCGGCUAAUUACGUG
rnacentral:rRNA from 1 species